rnacentral:rRNA from 1 species
GACGAACGCUGGCGGCGUGCUUAACACAUGCAAGUCGAACGGAAAGGCCCUGCUUUUGUGGGGUGCUCAAGUGGCGAACGGGUGAGUAACACGUGAGUCACCUGCCCUUGACUUUGGGAUAACUUCAGGAAACUGGGGCUAAUACCGGCUAGGAGCUCCUGCUGCAGGGUGGGGGUUGGAAAGUUUCGGCGGUUGGGGAUGGACUGGCGGCUUAUCAGCUUGUGGGUGGGGUAGUGGCUUACCAAGGCAUUGACGGGUCGCCGGCCUGGGAGGGUGACCGGCCACAUUGGGACUGAGAUACGGCCCAGACUCCUACGGGAGGCAGCAGUGGGGAAUAUUGCACAAUGGGCGGAAGCCUGAUGCAGCAACGCCGCGUGCGGGAUGACGGCCUUCGGGGUGUAAACCGCUUUCGCCUGUGACGAAGCGUGAGUGACGGUAAUGGGUAAAGAAGCACCGGCUAACUACGUG